rnacentral:rRNA from 1 species
AUUAAUCGAGGAUGGGAUCAUGAGUUCACAUGUCCGCAUGAUUAAAGGUAUUUUCCGGUAGACGAUGGGGAUGCGUUCCAUUAGAUAGUAGGCGGGGUAACGGCCCACCUAGUCAACGAUGGAUAGGGGUUCUGAGAGGAAGGUCCCCCACAUUGGAACUGAGACACGGUCCAAACUCCUACGGGAGGCAGCAGUGAGGAAUAUUGGUCAAUGGGCGAUGGCCUGAACCAGCCAAGUAGCGUGAAGGAUGACUGCCCUAUGGGUUGUAAACUUCUUUUAUAAAGGAAUAAAGUCGGGUAUGCAUACCCGUUUGCAUGUACUUUAUGAAUAAGGAUCGGCUAACUCCGUGCCAGCAGCCGCGGUAAUACGGAGGAUCCGAGCGUUAUCCGGAUUUAUUGGGUUUAAAGGGAGCGUAGAUGGAUGUUUAAGUCAGUUGUGAAAGUUUGCGGCUCAACCGUAAAAUUGCAGUUGAUACUGGAUGUCUUGAGUGCAGUUGAGGCAGGCGGAAUUCGUGGUGUAGCGG